rnacentral:tRNA from 1 species
CCGGUCUUAGCUCAGUUGGCCAGAGCGGGAGACUGUAGUGAAAAUUGACAUCUCUAGGUCACUAGUUCGAAUCUGGUAGACCGGA